GGGACGGAAGUCUGGAGCCCCAGUCUCAAUUUGACAAACAAAACUGUGUUCAGUUUUCUGCAUCUGGAAAGGAACUGACCUCUUCUGUGAUUUGAAGUGAUAAGGAAUCCCAGAGAUCCAAGUGUGGGCUUGCUGUGGGACCUCUCUGGCACGGAAAAGCUGACCCAUGUGUGGAGCAGCUCACUUCCCAGACCAGGACCUUCCAGAGACGCUAAAACUACUGACCCCGACGUGAUUUGAACACGCAACCUUCUGAUCUGGAGUCAGACGCGCUACCGUUGCGCCACGAGGUCCUCGAGGGUGCCCCCGAUUUCUUUACCUGUCAACCUGAUCCGUGA